rnacentral:ncRNA from 1 species
AGAAAAGCAGAGAAAAGAACAAGUAGGAAUCAGGGGAACUUACAGAAAGCAACCGGCGGAUGAGAGGUGCAGGCAGAAACUGAUUCUGAAUACAUCUUGGAGCUUCGCACUGAAGGCACACACUGUGUUGGUAGGCUGCGACGGAAUUGCACACGUUACCGUGCAGAAGUAUCGCAACGAAUGCUGUACUUGAUAAGGCAGUCAGUGUGAACUGGCUGUGAAGUAAGGUGGUAACACGGGAAUCUCUCCCGUCCUUUCG